rnacentral:rRNA from 1 species
UGGAGAGUUUGAUCCUGGCUCAGGACGAACGCUGGCGGCGUGCCUAAUACAUGCAAGUCGAGCGAGGGUCUUCGGACCCUAGCGGCGGACGGGUGAGUAACACGUAGGCAACCUGCCUGUAAGACUGGGAUAACAUAGGGAAACUUAUGCUAAUACCGGAUAGGGUUUUGCUUCGCCUGAAGCGAAACGGAAAGAUGGCGCAAGCUAUCACUUACAGAUGGGCCUGCGGCGCAUUAGCUAGUUGGUGAGGUAACGGCUCACCAAGGCGACGAUGCGUAGCCGACCUGAGAGGGUGACCGGCCACACUGGGACUGAGACACGGCCCAGACUCCUACGGGAGGCAGCAGUAGGGAAUUUUCCACAAUGGACGAAAGUCUGAUGGAGCAACGCCGCGU